GCUAGAGAAAGUGUGGCUUCUCGUGGUCACUGUGGAAGAGGAACUGCUCCGAAGCCGCUCGGGGGAAUUUUAAUGGUGGAGUUGGAGACCACUGCUGAGAGAGAAUGACUUAAGGAGCUGAUCUGAUGCCAAAUCUCUCCAUCUGGAAGCAUGAUCAUGGCAUACAGCUGUUAACGAAGUCUUCAAAACAUCCCAGAGAAAUCAGUUUCUGCAUACUCACUACUGAUGGCGGUCAGCUCCACUAAUUCUCCGUCCUGACUGGGAAAUGGAUCUUGGCCCCAGUUUAAGUGGACGGCUGGUUUCUUUCAUUACUCUAGGGGUUUGUUUGUCUUAACUGCCCGUUAUUAGGACAGUGAACUUCCGAGCCCGUGCCGGAAUGACUACCACAUGUUUGUGCUUUGAAAUUCCAGCCAAAACAAAAGAAUAAAAAUUCUCCACACAAUUCCCAUGAGGAGAACUGCGGAAAUAACCAGGCAGUCUCACAGAGUAUGGAAAUCCAUUCUUUUUUUUUCUUAACCGCACCGCCCGAAGGGUUAAAAACCCAUCCGGCACAUUUACGGUAUUCUGCACCCGUUUUCUCUAAUUCUGCCUCCUGGAAACCUUCACGAAUAAUGCAAACCUGGAAAUGAAACACUUUCCCUUUGGGGCCAACUGUACAUGAACCUGAAAGCAAAGAGGACUCACUACAAAGCAAAACUUUAGUCAGAUCUCUAUGAAGUGAUAAAGUAUCUCCUGGCAGAGAUGCACCAAUGUGAACUCCAGAAGUCUGCUGGUAUUUGGUCUUUCUUUGUUCUUCCUGGGGCAUUGGGUUGGGUAGGAUCCAAUUUGACCGUGUCUGGUUGCAAUGAAUACCGUUGAUGCGGUGAAGAGGAGCGGAGAUAUAAAACACACACACACACACAAACACACACUUGAGAUAAAAGGACCAGCGAGCUGCGGCUUGAAGCGUCUCGCCGGGUGUGUCUGUGGACAUGCCACUCAUUCCUGGUUGCAAUCAACAAAGUGAAACCAAAUGAGGGUCUGUGUGUGGGUGGACUUGCGUGUGAAUGUGUGUGUGUUUUAUGAUAAGGUCUGGUGGUGGUGAGUGAUUGUAUGAUGGAUUGGACAGGAGGCGCAACUGCCAUCUGCGCAGUAAACAAGAAUGACUCAGAGAAACACAAAUCAGUUUCAUUAGUUCAGCAGAUUUUGGUGUGCCUUCCGUCAAAGACAUUUAGUGUACAGCAAAA